rnacentral:misc_RNA from 1 species
GUGAAUCAUCGAAUUUUUGAACGCAAAUUGCGCUUCCUGGCAUCCCGGGAAGUAUGCCUGUUUGAGGGUCAGUAUUAAUAAAAAAUCGGUUUGGUAACAAAUGGUGAGGUUUCGGGAGUUGGGGCUAUCUUAAAAUUUUGGGUUAAGGGGCUAAAAAUUGACCUUUUUGGCGAAUUUUUAAAGGUAAAAAAAUUUUUUUUAUUGGUCUAUUCUAAAGGCAAAAAUCUUAUUAGAUGCGAUCACAU